rnacentral:lncRNA from 1 species
UUUCCUUUUCACAUACAUUCAUUCAACAAAACAUCUUUGAGGGAACUGUGUGUGCCAAGCACUGUGCUUAACACAGCUAAGGCAGAGAUUGAUGUGGGGAAAAAAGGCAAAAGGAAAACAUUAAAUUUCCUUUCUACUUAGAGCCCAUUGACAAGUCCUUGAAACAGGCAGAGUGACCUUCCUCUGGGAACUCAGCUGCCUCAAUGUUGACACUUUUUGCUAAGGGCCAAAGGCAGUCUUAGGCUGAUCUUCUAAGAUCUGGUAAGUCUACUUUAACAUAUAAAAAUUCCUUUGGAAACUUCCUUUAUCUCUACCCCCUCCCCAAGAUACACGUUAACAAUCAUCCUCCUAGCAUGUGGCCCAUUGAUAUACAUCUGAAGAGUCUCAUGAUUAAUGUUGUACUAGACAGUAAUAAAUGACCUUUUCCUAACAAUAGCUAGCCCCUCAAGGUCCAGGAAACCUUGUUUCCAAAUUCCUUAGAGAUGUAUGCAGUCCCUAACCCCCUCCCAACUUGAAAGUAAAUAAUCAGUCACUCAUUACAACCCUAGGCAGCUCUUUCAGACCAUGAGUCCUGUUCCCAUGCUUGAAUAAAACUACCUUUUUGCAAUGAAAACAUCCUAAGAAUUCUUCUUGACCAUUGGUUCUGAACCCCAACAUUUCCAUGUCAGAGAUGACUAAGAACUAGUCUUUGCCCUCAGGAAGCUGUCAGUUAUAUUGACAAAGCAUAAGAACACAAGAACCAUAGAUAAAGUGUGUCCAGUAAGAAAGGUAAAAAAAAAAAUGUUUUACAAGAAUGUCAUAAGCAAAAAAAAAAAAAAAUAAGAAAAUGCUUCAGAGAUUUUAAAAGAUAGAAGGUCAAAAUAAAAAUGCCAAGUAUUAUCCUUGUAACUCACAUUGCUAGUUCUUUCUUUUACCUAUUCAUUCAUUUACUCACACACAUAUUUUUUGGAUGAUGAAGGUAAAUAAAGCCCAAUGGAGAAUAAUAAGUUUGGAAAAGCGUACAAGAAACAGAAAGAGAAAGGAUGACUAAGGAUAGGCUGUGGGAGGAAUUCACACCCGCAAAGCCACUGCUACAAGCCAGAUACUGUGUCUGGUUGAGGUUGACGUUCAUAAAACUUAGACAGUUUUAUCCAUCUUCUUCUUUCUCUUCUUCCUCUUAUUAUUAUUGUUCUUGUUUUUAAUUUCAUUUCACAGAUUUCCAGAUGAGGAAAUUUUGUCUCAGAAAGGCUAACUGUCUUGGAAUUAUAAUGCCCACAUUUAAUAAAAUGUGUGACUUUGAAAUCUGUGCUCUUGUUACUCUGCCACAAAGAAGAGAAAAGAUGCAAAUUUAUGAAAGGUAGACAGAAAGAAAUGCAUCAUAAGCAUGGCACUUGAGGAAGAGAUGAUAAUAACUGGUGGCACUCAGGGGUAUUGAUUUCCUUCAGAAGGCCUUGAUUUUGGAAUAUUUAACCUUUAAUUUAGCAGAGACUCUGACAACCAAAAACACCAAUUGCCUCUUGACAUUUUUUUAGUUCCAUGAUAAUACCCAUAGAAAGAGCUUUCAAGGAGGCUUAAAAAUAAAAGGAAAGGUAAAAUCAGUGAAAGAAAAAUAAUUAUUUUUAAAAAGGACUGUAUAGUGCACUUAGGCAGUGCACUGAAGAUAUUCAUUGGGACACUUGGGGGUGAGGAAUUGGUCAGGUUCUUGUCUUACAGAUGAGAAAACUAGGCCCAGGGAUACAAUGUGAUGUAUCUAAGCUCGCCUAUCUCUUAUUUCAUGAAAACCACAAGGCACUUUCCUUUACAUGAGUGUUCACAGAGGGGAAUUUACCAGUAAAUUUUAAUUUAAGAAAAUACAGUUGUGCAUUAUUGGCAAUGAAUUAUUUAAGUCCAGGAUUAGUAUCCUAAGAUUUUACUGCUCAUAGUGUGAUUCACAAACUGCCAGCUCAAGCAUCACCUGAAAGAUUGUUAGAAAUGCAGACUCCCAGAAUCUGCAUUAUAACAAGAUCCCCAGGUGCUUUGUAUGCACAUUAAAAUUUGAGAAGCCUUGAAAAGAAAAGGCAUAUAUUAAAAAAAAGAAGAUGACUUGGGGGCUAAAUUCACUUGGGUUUAAUCUCAAUAGAAGCAUGUGAGCCAUGAGCAUGAUUUGGAUUAUGAGGGAAAAGCAAGUGUUCAAAGAGAAACAAUGACUUGGAUGUAAGUGGACUUGGAUGUUCAGGGGAUGGCACAUGGCUUAAUGUUGUUCCUAAAAUGUGAAGAUAAGCUAGAAAUAGGAUUUAGGUGCCAGAAUGAAUAUUCAACAGUUAUUCUCUGGUGACUAGGAAACAAUUCAUGGCUAAUACCACAACCACAACAAAAGUAAUUCUUUUUGUAUACUACUCUGGAGCUUAACUGUAUCUGACACGUAAGUACUCAGUAAGUAUUUACUGAUUCAGUAAAUUAAUGUAAAACAUUUUCAUGCCCAUUUACUAAAUCAGCAUAAAACAUUUUCAUGCCCAUCAUCUCAUGGGAUGUUUUGAACACUUCUGAGAGGUAAAAAGAACAGGAAUUUUUUUUUAUAUUUUAUUACUGUUUUCCUCCAUUUUAUAGAAAACCAAACAUAGUGAAGAAAAAAUGAUUUGCAUAAAAUGAUACUACUAGUAAAUUGCUAGAUCCAAAUCUCAGCUUCAAGUCUUAUGAUUCCAAAGAAUACCCUCUUUCAAGCCAAUUAAGACCUCAGGCCUUUGGCUUCAUACUUUUCCCAAUUCACACCGGAGAUCUCAUAGUGAGAACUAACUACAUAUAAAUAUAUUUUAUUUGAAAUGAUUAUUUGCUAUAUAUCUAUCUGUCAUCUGAACAUUAGCUCUGUAAGACUUGGAAUGGUUUUGAUUAUAAGCAACAUGAUUUUUACCAGAGCUAAUUAACAGUAUUUUGAGUUCCCAAACUAGCUUUGUGGGCAGUUCUGAUAGGACCAUGGACUGUUACAGAACAGGAGCUCUUCCUUUUUGUUUUGUUUUCCUUUUUUUCUGGAGUGGGCAUUAAUAAUGGCUUAGUGCUUGAAAGGCUCUGUGGUACUACAUGCUUGCUAAGUCACACAAAAAAUACUAUCGACAGGCUUGGCAAAACAACUUUGAUUUGGAGUGUCUCUGAUGUUUACUCUUUGCUCUAGGUUUGGGUAAUCUGUGGCAAAGCUUUUAGCUCUUCAUGACUCUUUCUCCUUUAAUUUACUUCACUUUUAGAGAGAGAAGUAACACAAAUGAGCCACUGCCAGCGCGUUUUCACGUUCAACAAUAAACCGGGAGGAACAUCACCCACUUUUCAACUUCACUGUGAGAAGCGAGUAAGAUAAAUACUCUUUCAUGCCUAACUCAUUGUAGGUGGUAACAAGUUCUUCACUCCUGCCUUCAAAGAUCUUAAGUCACAAGAGAGUCAUGAACCAACUCCUUCUUUGUCUCUAGGAAGGUUUAGCAAAUGAUCAUUUCAAAUAUAAUGUAUAUGCAAAUGAUUGUCUUGAGAAUGUUUAUUCCACUGUGCAAAUGAGGAGUCCAGAGAUCACUUUUCUAUCUGAGGAUAACAGCUGAUGGAUAAGAUGGUGGCUAGCUCAGUGUCAGAAAGUUUAUGAAAGAACAGCAUGAGGACCAGAGUUAAUAAGCAGAAUUUAGGAGGUUAAAGCACUAAGUCUAUAGAAGAGGUAUCAUUAAAAAAAGAAGCAGUUAUUCUAAGAAAAAGCCCAAAUUGGGAAUGCAGAUCUUUAUAAUGGACAGAAGUAAAGACAAUGAAUCAAUGAAGCAUGGUCACAGUGAAUGAGGUAAAGUAAAA